UUUUUUUUUUUUUUUUUAAUGUUGCAGGGUCUUGCUCUAUCGCCCAGGCUGGAGUGCAGUGGCACAAUCUUGGCUCACUGCAACCUCCACCUCCUGGUCUCAAGUGAUUCUUGUGCCUCAGUCUCCUGAGCAGCUGAGAUUACAGGCGCGCACCACCGCGCCCAGAUAAUUUUUGUAUUUUCAGUAGAGACAAAAUGUUGUCCAGGCUGGUCUCAAACUCCUGACCAAGUAAUCUACCGCCUCGGCUUCCCAAAAUGCUGGAAUUACAGGUGUGAGCCACUGUGCCCAGCCUGAAGAGUGACAUUUUUUAAUCUCUUGUUUUGUGCAUUAUAGUUCAGGUGAUUCUCACAUUACUAUUGUGCCCAUUACACAGCUGAAAAAACUGAGGCCUGGAGAUAUCCUGGAAGGAAGAAAUGGCAAAGGUAGCAAGGAACUCUGUGUCUCCUGGCUGAAAGGCCUAAGCAUUUUUUCUGACAGCCAGCUCAAGCCUCUAAGAAAGAUUCUGCUCCCCAGAUGUGAGCCCCUCCCCCAGCUGGAGACCCUCAUCACCAUUCCCUGGGGAUAGAGGCAUCCUUGGCUUUAUCUUUUCGUCUGUACUUUAAAUUAUUUCUAAUUUUAAUCUAAACUGUGCCAGCUAAAUGGUGUCAGCGCCCUGCAGUCACAGCUCUGAAUCACUCCCCACCCCUCUCUCCCCCAUUGCUGCUACUGACACUAACGGCUGGUGAGGGAGGGGCUGUCAUGCAGGCUGAACAGGGCUGGGUACUAGGGGCUUUGUCUGGGCAUCCUCCCUCCCUCAAGCUGCUUGGUCAAGGAGAUGGGAAGGGGCAACAGACAGGCAGGAAAUUGGGUUGGAUACUGUCUGGGCUUUCUUUAACCCCAGCUCCCAGGAGAAUGGGAACCAUAUAGCCGGGGGUGGUGACAACAUAAGACUUCAGGACCUUUUGUCCACACAACUUUCUCCAUUCUGCAGAUAAAGACACUCAGCCUUGAGAGGCCUAGCUUGGGUCUCUUGCUCUUAACAGGCACAAGCAAGUAUUGGAGCCCAAAUCAUUCUUGGAUCCAGAGCCCGAGGUCUUGGUCACAACACUGCUAACCCCAAGACUUGCCCUCUAGCCCUCUCCAUGUGCACACCCACAUCCUCAUGGUCUCCCACACACUCACACACCCAUACUGGGCUCUCACCUUCCCUCCCAGCACUGUCACCACACACCUUGUCACACCCCCUCCUGCCGCUAACACCCACGCCCAGGCACUCUCCGUUCCCCACAAUCACAGUCACUCCCCAAGCAUAGACUGUGUCCCACCAGUCACACACUCCUACCAUGACCACACACUGCCAGGCUUACCCCAGUACUGUCCCAUCCCAUAGUCCUCACACCACCCCUCAGCCAGGUACAGCUGCCCAGACACCUCCACACCUCUCUGUCUCACACACACACACAACUGCACACAUCACACAUGCGCCAUACAGCCUCCCUCUGUUGGCCUGCCCACCGCGCCCCAGCUCACUCCACAGUAGGAACGAGGAAACCCCAGGGAUCAGUCCCCUCCCUUAGUGACCAGGUGAGCCUGGUCACAGAAGCUCAGUGGCAGAGGGAGAGCCACACAUGAGUACACGCACAUACAC
ensembl:lncRNA